UACAAGGCAUUCCUCCCCAACGGACC
rnacentral:piRNA from 1 species